GGGCCUGUAGCUCAGUUGGUUAGAGCGCACCCCUGAUAAGGGUGAGGUCACUAGUUCGAAUCUAGUCAGGCCCA
rnacentral:tRNA from 1 species